rnacentral:lncRNA from 1 species
CAAACAGAAGCUAUAAUAAAAAUAAAUAAACAAUACAACUUCAAAUAAAGCUAUAAAUAAAUGAAGAGAAUCUUGAGCAUAUCUAACUCUUACAGCUUGUUUGGAGAGAUUUUUUACUCAAAAAAAUUGAUUUUUUGACCGUUAUUUCACUAUUUUAACUGUAAUUUUUGACUUUUUCAGUGAACCCCAAUUUUCUUUUAACGACUAAAAAAUCAAUUCUCAAAAUUUCUCCCAAACGAACCUUAAUAAUUGAAAUCAGAUUCAAAACAAAUGAAAGUAACCAUGGAAUUUCACUUUUUAGGUACUCAUAAUCCAAAAUGGAGAAAACCCGACUUUACGUAAAAUCUCUAGGGACCAUUUGAACCUUAUUAUUUGUAGAUUAUAAUGAGAUGAAUAUUAUUUUUUUGAAAAAUGAGUGGUUGAAUUUUUUUUGAUUUACUUGUAAUAUUAUUGUAUAGAAAAUUAUGUGAUUAAAAGUAAGAGAGAAAAAUCUUUAAUUUAAUGUAACGAAAAAUAAUAAAACUCAAACGGGAGCUAAAUCUCCUUCUCUGUGGGAAUGAAACAAACUGGAAAGCUAUGAAAAUCGGAGUUUGACAUCUUCCAAGCUUCAAGUAAUCACGGUACACUACAAAAUUAUAACAACAUAAUCUAAAGAAAAGCAUUGAUUUGGUAAAAUUACUUUAUCUUUAUACUCUGAAUUAAAUCCUCAAUACGCAUCAAGAGCUAGUCUCAUCAGCAAUUCACAAUAAAGGCUCUGUUGGGUAGUACAAUAACGGAGAUAAAAAAUGUUGAUAAUAAUAUAGGGAAAUCUAAAUACGUUAAUGAACUCCAAGGAACGGAAAAACGUUAUCUUUUAAGAAAUAUUUCUCCUCUAUUCAACAAAAUCACAACUGGGGUAUGGUUAAAAAUCUCUCUCAGGAUACAAUGGAGGCGUUUGAUUCAAAUUGUGACUAUUUGAUCAAACCAAGAAGACACUCGAAAAUGACUGAUUGAUGCCAAGAGAAAGAAGGAAGAAUAAGUUGUUUUUAAUGUGUUUGCAAAUGAGAAUUUGCCCAAAAUUUAUAGACACUGAGGCAACUGUUUGAAUAGGUGUAUCACUUGAAAGUGGCACAGCGACAAACACUAAUCCGGGUGGCAAAUCAUUCACAAAAAUAAAAAUUAAACACAUGCAAAAUGAUGAAAAAUAUCUAACAUAAAAUUGCUAUUGGAGUAAAUAAUACGCGCACAAAAAAAAACCAAAAUAUGUAUGUGUUUUGAUUGAAAAAAAGAUUACCCGUUGGCUUUUAGGAGAAUCUUCCUCUCUUCUCUCUCACAAUAACGCCUCCUCCACUUGUUC